GUUUUUUUUUUUUUUUUGUUAUAUUGUUCUUUAUGCUUAUGCUACUAUUAUUUCUGCAAUGAUUUGUAUCUUGAUUGUUUGUAGUUUGACCCUAUCUUUUCAUUUAUUCUUCUGUGUCACAACCUAGUGAGAUAAGACUUGGAUUGUUAUCGUUAUUCGUUGUUGUUUUACAUGUGCACGAAUUAUAAUUGAUCAAUUCUUUCUCGAUGCUAAGGUUGAUGUUGUAAAUUGUAAUAACCCAGUAAUAACCAACUAAUGGAGCAGUGGUUAAUUUAAUUUUUCUACUGCUCCAUUAGUUCGUUACUACUGGGUUAUUACAGAUGUGGUGUUUUAGUAACAAGGAUCUACCUUCUAAAAGGUACGAGUCUUUUUAGGAUGUGAUGUGAUUUUUAAUGUAUAUUAGUUGUACAGUUGUUUUCAUUUUUAUAACCAUUAAAUAUAGACGAGGCAAUCUUGAAAUUAGGGAUUGAAUAUAGAAUCAUUAGGUAAAGGGGUAUGGAAAUCCAAGGUUAUCAUCCCCAAUGAGAAAAGAUGGACCUUACAUCGUAUUUGUUUAAGGGCAUUGGAUGGGGGAAAGAGGAAAUGAGAGGAAUUAUUUGCAAUUUUCGUGGUUUGGUUUAUUGUUUUGGAGGGAUAGGAAGAUGAAGGGAUUAGAGGGGAGUCAACUUCAUCCUCACUUAACUGAGACUCUCCUCCAAUAUCGGAGAGAUUUGUAGGGUAGAGAAGAUGAACUUAUUAAAUAUGAAGUUUAACUUGAUUGACAAAAAUAUCCUUAUAAUGCCAAUGAGAAAUGUUUGCUGCUUUUGAUCUUCCUUUCAUGUGGUUCUCUCUCUAUCUAUAUCUCAAUAUCCAUGGUUUAGUUAGUGAAGUUGCAUGGCUGUCAAUCAAUAUAUGGUUCAUGUGCAGGGUAAGUGGGAAAAUGGUGUGUGUAAAUUGAACAGAAAGAAAAUAGAGAUUAACGAGUUGAUCUGCUUUGUGUAUGUUUGGGUGAGUGUUUGGCAAAUGUGUUUCAGAAUAAACUUGAUUUUGUAAAAUCGCUUUGGUCAGAAUUGAAUUUGAACUGGUGUUAUUUUUGUUAUAUAGUCUAAAUUUUGCAGCUUAAUACAAAAGCUUUUAAUCACUUCUAGCUAAUAUGUGAUUUAGAUGUUAGAUUUGAUCACUUUUUGCUAACAACAAUUAAACAUCUAUACUUUACUAAAAGUUAAAUCAGUGAUGUUACCUUUUUCCAUGACAGAAAAUACACACUUUGUUGGUAGUUGAGUGCUGUCUAGAAUUUUCUUAGAAAAUGACUUGCUGGUGAUUGAUUACUUUCUUCUAACGACAAUAACCGAAGCAUCAUCCAACGUAACAAACUUGAUCCUUUUAUACUAACAACCUUUAUAUAAAUAAACAAGAAACAGAAAAUAAAUGUCAAAGAAAUGAUCAUUCAGUAUCCUGUGGUUGAGAGAAAAAUUGGAGGGGUGAAAAUGAGGAAAUAUUUGUGUUUUCAGUCUUUGAAUUAGUAACAUAAGCUAUAAAAAUUGAUAUUACUACCUGUAUUUGACUCUAAAUUUUUUGGUUCCCAACCCAUUAUUUAUUUGUGAUGUUUUGGGUUUUUAUUCCCUUCAAUGCCAAACAUUGUGUUGUCAAAUUUUUACCUCUUCCAUUUAGUACAAUAUUACCUUUUGAAAACCAUUCAAAAUGACCAAAGCUUGAGGCACUACCACAAAUGAUUUUCAUACGGGUUUGUGAAGAAAGCUGGAACUCUGGGAUCGCAGAGAGAAUUUAUUGUGUAAGACCAAAAUGCCCUUUGCUUUAUCUGUUGGCCCUUCAUUUUUCUAUGUGGCAAACUAGCUACUUGUGUCAAUCUAUAUGGUCAACCCCGUGCACGGGGACAUGAGGCUUCUUUGGACUUAAAAGUAACAGUGCAAGCCAAGUAGCUGCUGUGGCCUGCGACGGUUCUCUGUGGAUGCACCUCAGACCCAUACCUGGACAUUGACACUCUCAAUAAACACCGUUGUUGAUCCCUUCAAAGAAUGUUACAUGAAGCAAGUUAUGAGUCAUGAUAGUGAUGGGGAAGGGAGUGUUGUGAUAACUAUGCAUGGUUUUUAUGUGAAAGUGGGACAGGAGGAAUAACUAGUUCAAAUUAAUAUUAGUUUAGUUCUGUUGAAUCCACUGUAAUAUUGUUUCUGCUUUUCAGGAUUUCUUUGGAGGCAAGCCAUAGGAAAAUCUGGAUGUAGAGGAAAAAAAGUGGUAAAAAAUUCAAAUACCAAAAUGGGAAGGGUUAAUUUUGUCAUUUUAACUAUAUAUUUCUUUUUUCCAUCUUAACAAAUACAAGUAUUUAAAUUUUUUAGUCACAUUUCCUUAUGAACAAAGCAUUUGGAUGUGGUAUACUCCAGUGCAUUGUUUGCAUAUCUUAACUCAAAUUAAUGUGCCAUAACAGUAAUGGAAUCCAUCGUGUAAAAGUAGCAUAUGAUUGCAUGCCCAAAUAUAAGAGGGAAAAAUGUUCAAGAGAGAAA